CUCCCUUCUUUCCUUCCUUCUUUUCACAAAACUCUUCGUUCAUUUUUAAAACACUGCCUGCUUUAUUUAAAGCUAUGGAAAACUGAUCAUCAGAGGAGUACCUCAACAACUAGCGUUUGGUUUGGAGACUGAAGGUCCAUACCUGCAGCAUCAGCAGCCCUGGCUGGGAGCUAUACUGCUAUGAGCCAUGGCCUCAUGAGCCAUGUGUAUUUGUGUACAAUGACCCAAAUGGAAAAGGAAUUUCUGACAUGUAAACAAGUAUUUGUCUCCUGCAGUCUUGAACACGGACCCAUUAUCUUAUCGUUCAUUAGCAGACUAUUGAAUUCACAUAAUCGGUAAUAGUUUCUGGAAGCUGUUUGGCAAGCAGAUAUGGAAAUUACUAACUCACAGCUGGGUAAGAAAAAAUGGCAAAUACACACGUUGUGCUUGCUCUCUUCCCUCGCCCCUCCCCUCCCCCCUGCACUCUCUUCCUUGGACACUGUAGAUUUAUUGCCUCACAGUAUUCACAGAUGAUGUUUUCAUAGUCACUAAUGAGGUCCCAGCAGUUUUUUAACAAUAACAGGACAUUACUGCCCUGAAGAUAUAUUAUGUGUUUUCCCCAUUUUUCUCCAUUUUGGUUGAAUACUCAGAAGUGUACUAGCUUAAAAAUCUCCUGUUUUAUUAUUAUUAUGAUUGAUAGUCUGGUCAUGUGAUAUAAACAACUGCUGAGCUGUAAUUUUUUAAAUGAUUAAUUUGUAUACAAACUUAAAAUAUAAUCUUUUAACACACAGUUCAUGGAUUUGUACAUACGAAUGCCAAAAUGUUUUUUUUUUUCUUUUUUUUUUUUUCCUACAGACAAAAGGGCAAGACAACAGAGAUCACUUUUCUGUACUGCUGUGUAUUCAUUUUCCUCUCUGCAAGAAUCUGGCUUCAGCCCAUCAUAGCUGGCAGUGAUACACAAGAUGGGUUGACAGAGAAGGCAGAAGGCACAACAGAUGAAAGAGGCUGCAAGAAAGAGGAGAAAUUCCACAAUUUGGUCCAAAGAAACAAAGAUUUUAUUUGGUCUAAUGGCUGUUCCUUUUGUUGUCAGCUGGAUUGUGCCAGGGAUUUUGGUGAAUUGAAAAUACCUUGUGCUGUAUUUUUUGUUCCUGACAGAUACAGGGAUAAUGGGCUAUAUUUUGUUUAGCAAACCUUGAUCCUGAGUCUGUAGGGAGACCCUCAUGGUCAGGAACUUCUUUCUGUUCAGGUUGGAUUAGGAGACAUCUUGUUAGCUUUUAAUGCUGCAAUUUGUAAGCAUAGACACUUUGGUUCUGCACUCAUUUUUAACCAAUUGCCAUAUUUAGCCAACACAUGGUUCCAAUUUUACCCCACCUCAAAUUCUUAUGAUGUAAAUUUUCAUGGAAAAGUGUCGCUUUGAAAACCAGAAAGCUCUAUCAAGCAACUUAAAAUUUCAUCAGCAAAUAUAUUUGCAACCAUUAUCAGCAGCUUGCUCUUGGCAAUACCCCAGUGCACUCUCCUAGACAGUGGAUUUCUGCCUCCUGUUAGCUGCUAAAGCUGUAAUAUUUUCCUUGAAAUUUACUUGCAAGACUCUUAUCCCCAAGUCCCUAGUAUCUCCUACUUUCUUUGAACUGCUUAAGCCAUUUCCAGCCACUGAAAAAGAGCCAGUCCUUUAGAGCAGAUGACUGAAGUCUUGGAAAGGGAGAAGAGAGUCAGAAACACACAGGAAAAUGAUUUUUUUUUAUUUUUUAUAUUUUUUCCCUUGGAAUGAUAACGUCUCCAUCUAAGUUCUUCUGUUUUCCCUUGUUAUUAUAUUCUUACAGCUCUUGAUUAUCUCACCUGCCUGACAGUGCUCAAACACACCAGAUGGACCGAGUUUUCCAUUCCCAUUUCGCAAUAGCUUUUCUUUUCCAUGAGACUCGACUACACAACCAAAGAGAAAAACAGAACAUUGGUCAUACUCAAAAUUAAGAAAAUGCCAAGUUAUCCCUUGAAUGAUAGAAUGAAUGAAGCCUGGCCUCCCACAGGACUGUCCUUGUUCUUCUUCCUAUCACCUCCAAAGCUUGCUCAUAUUCCCUAUGACUGCCAGAUCAGAAAUAAACAGCAUUUACUGUGGCCA
ensembl:lncRNA